GAAGGUGGCCUGUGAGGGUUGCUGGAGGUAUCAGAAGUGCGAAUGCUGACAUAAGUAACGAUAAAGCGGGUGAAAAGCCCGCUCGCCGGAAGACCAAGGGUUCCUGUCCAACGUUAAUCGGGGCAGGGUGAGUCGACCCCUAAGGCGAGGCCGAAAGGCGUAGUCGAUGGGAAACGGGUUAAUAUUCCCGUACUUGGUGUUACUGCGAAGGGGGGACGGAGAAGGCUAUGUUGGCCGGGCGACGGUUGUCCCGGUUUAAGCGUGUAGGUGUGUGUUCCAGGUAAAUCCGGUUCACUUUAACACUGAGGCGUGACGACGAGGCACUACGGUGCUGAAGCAACAAAUGCCCUGCUUCCAGGAAAAGCCUCUAAGCAUCAGGUAACAUCAAAUCGUACCCCAAACCGACACAGGUGGUCAGGUAGAGAAUACCAAGGCGCUUGAGAGAACUCGGGUGAAGGAACUAGGCAAAAUGGUGCCGUAACUUCGGGAGAAGGCACGCUGACACGUAGGUGAAGUGAUUUACUCAUGGAGCUGAAGUCAGUCGAAGAUACCAGCUGGCUGCAACUGUUUAUUAAAAACACAGCACUGUGCAAACACGAAAGUGGACGUAUACGGUGUGACGCCUGCCCGGUGCCGGAAGGUUAAUUGAUGGGGUCAGCGCAAGCGAAGCUCCUGAUCGAAGCCCCGGUAAACGGCGGCCGUAACUAUAACGGUCCUAAGGUAGCGAAAUUCCUUGUCGGGUAAGUUCCGACCUGCACGAAUGGCGUAAUGAUGGCCAGGCUGUCUCCACCCGAGACUCAGUGAAAUUGAACUCGCUGUGAAGAUGCAGUGUACCCGCGGCAAGACGGAAAGACCCCGUGAACCUUUACUAUAGCUUGACACUGAACAUUGAGCCUUGAUGUGUAGGAUAGGUGGGAGGCUUUGAAGCGUGGACGCCAGUCUGCGUGGAGCCGACCUUGAAAUACCACCCUUUAAUGUUUGAUGUUCUAACGUGGACCCGUGAUCCGGGUUGCGGACAGUGUCUGGUGGGUAGUUUGACUGGGGCGGUCUCCUCCUAAAGAGUAACGGAGGAGCACGAAGGUUGGCUAAUCCUGGUCGGACAUCAGGAGGUUAGUGCAAUGGCAUAAGCCAGCUUGACUGCGAGCGUGACGGCGCGAGCAGGUGCGAAAGCAGGUCAUAGUGAUCCGGUGGUUCUGAAUGGAAGGGCCAUCGCUCAACGGAUAAAAGGUACUCCGGGGAUAACAGGCUGAUACCGCCCAAGAGUUCAUAUCGACGGCGGUGUUUGGCACCUCGAUGUCGGCUCAUCACAUCCUGGGGCUGAAGUAGGUCCCAAGGGUAUGGCUGUUCGCCAUUUAAAGUGGUACGCGAGCUGGGUUUAGAACGUCGUGAGACAGUUCGGUCCCUAUCUGCCGUGGGCGCUGGAGAACUGAGGGGGGCUGCUCCUAGUACGAGAGGACCGGAGUGGACGCAUCACUGGUGUUCGGGUUGUCAUGCCAAUGGCACUGCCCGGUAGCUAAAUGCGGAAGAGAUAAGUGCUGAAAGCAUCUAAGCACGAAACUUGCCCCGAGAUGAGUUCUCCCUGAGACUUAGAGUCUCCUGAAGGAACGUUGAAGACGACGACGUUGAUAGGCCGGGUGUGUAAGCGCAGCGAUGCGUUGAGCUAACCGGUACUAAUGAACCGUGAGGCUUAACCUU
rnacentral:rRNA from 1 species